AGAUUGUACGAAGCUUGGAGAAGUGUGGAAGUAGUUCGAUCGAUUUUAUUUCAAAAUCGUACGUAUUUAGGGGCGUCUCAAAAAUUGACUUUUUAUAUGUACCAAAUUUGGGAAAACUUCCUUCAUGAAAGUUGUAGAGCUCGUCGAUACGAUCACGUGCAUAUGCGGAACACAAAAAUCGGAGUUCGUAUGAAUUAGUUAUGAUUUUUUGAAGGUAUUUCCAGUUUAAUAUAAAAGCUUCUAUUUCUGGCAUUUUCCAAAAAUAUCACUCGGUCUCCAAUUUUUGAAACCGAGCUUUCUUCUCUCUCUCUUGCGUCCGAAACCGGAGGAAAAACAGAGCAAGCUUUCCCGGUCGAGUUCUCCACCCUCCGGCCACCGUUUGACGCCAAAUCACCUCCCUUGCCUUCGCCUCGACGCCGCCUGCCUUCCGGGCGUGAUUGUUUCCGCCGGCACAGCCUCAAAACCCGGUGAAACGGAGUUGCAGACCUUGAAGCAAAAACGGUCAACCCCGUUUUCCUCCUAGCUCCGGCCACCAAAACUUCCGAUCCUUAGCUCCAUGAACUCGCCUCAACUUGCUGAUCAUCAUACUAGAAGGAUCGCACCUGGAGUGACCGGUUUCACGUUCGUCGGAGCUCGGUCGGUUUUCGAUCCGAAACGAAAAUCUUUCGAUCGGGAUAUCUCGAGCUGUAGUGCAUCGUUUUGAUUGAUUCUUUUUCCAGUGGGUUCGACUUGAUGUUCUUAACAACUAUCUAGAAGGAAUUAAGGCCUGAAAUUGAAGUUUUUACGUCGAAAAUUGAGCUCGCCGGUUUCUGGAAAUUCUCGCCGGUUUCUGGAAAGUUUCCGGCCACAUUCAUACUGUUCAAGGUGAUUGACGGUCUUCCUUGGGUGAGCGGUUUCGGUGUGUAUUGUGUUGAAGUGAAGACGCAGCGGGACUAGAGCGGGUAAUCCUGUAGGUCAGGAGAAUCAGGGCGGUGAUCGUGCGGGUUAGAGCAUUUGUUAUAAUUUUACAGCAAUUGUAAUAGUGAGGUGAGUUAAGCUCAUUUGAGCCUUGCAAUUUGAUUUGGUGAGAGUGUGCUGUAAUAAAUAACUUGAGAAUGUGGUUUAUUGUAUUAUUGAGAGGUGUGAAGUGUGGUUGUUUUUGAGAAAAAAAUUCAGGACGUUGGUUUGUAAUAGUUAUUAUUCAUGUUUCGGAUUUGAAUUGUUUAUUCAAAAUUCGGGGCGUGA